AACGCACAUUGCGCCCCCGGGUAUUCCCGGGGGCAUGCCUGUUCGAGCGUCAUUUCAACCCUCAAGCUCAGCUUGGUCUUGGGCAGCGCCGGCAACGGCCGGCCUUAAAGCUAGUGGCGGCGCCGCCGGGCUCUACGCGUAGUACCUCAUCUCGCGUCUGGGUCCCGGAGGACGCUGGCCAGCAACCCCCAACAUUUACUGGUUGACCUCGGAUCAGGUAGGGAUACCCGCUGAACUUAA
rnacentral:misc_RNA from 1 species